UGUAGCUCACGAAAGCUUAUGCUCAAAUAAAUUUGUUAGUCUCUAAGAUGCCACAAGUACUCCUUUUCUUUUUGCGAAUACAGACUAACAUGGCUGCUACUCUGAAACCUUUUUCAGUGGAGUCUUAUCCCACCCCCAUGCAGCUGACAGCUUUAGCACCUUGAAAGGAAUUGAUAGUCUGACUGUCCAGAGGUCCAGACUAACGUAUUAGCAACAACGUCCCUGCCAUAUAAUUCCCCUCCCCUCCAUGCCUUUAUUUUAUAUAAAAGGAUUGAUUUCAUCUCCAUCCUGGCCUUGGCACCAACCUGUUUCUACUACACAGAUGUCCAGAAAGAGAGGAAAAGAGAUCCUGUCACCCAGCACAAUCCCAGACAAUAAUAAAAAGAAAAAUAGCCCCAUGGGUGUUCCAUGUGUCCCUUAUCCCCAUACAAGGCUCAGCCCCUCCACACUGACUUGUUACUCUACUCAUGGUGUCAUACCUGAAAUUAGCUCGUCAAGUCCACAGGGCAGGGAUCUUGUCUUUCUACCAAGGGUUGCAAAAUGGGCUAGGAGAGUCACAACCAUCCUCCCGUCUUCAUGACUAAACGUGAGGGCUGUGCCAAUGUAGGGUCAUGAUAUUGAAGUGGUUGAGAACCACUGAUGUAAAAUAAUAAACCUCAUCAAUACAUGGAGAAUUAGGGAACAGGGAGAAAUUUCUAAAGGUCUGAGUCACUCAUUGCUGCUCACAAUUCUUUGUGAGUGAUCCUAAACACUUUUACAAUGACAGUGAGUAGUAGCAGCACACGGAGAACCCAGAACACUGUCUCUGCAUAUCAAGACAUUGAUGAGUGACUCUCUCUAUGUAGAAGGGUGGUGGAUAGCUCCUGCUACUUGUGAGUACAAGUGAUAAGGAGGGAGAACCAGGUGCUUCUGAAGGGACAAAAAAUCAUGUAAUGUGCUUAGAUGCCAUAGCGACAAGAGCUUUAAAAAUACAUAUAAUGAAAGGUGCAUUUUACCUGCAUACUGUCAUUAUGGCAAAUCCUGCUUCACUGUCAUUAAUCGGCAGAAUUCUUUACCCGUAUACUCUAAACUGAAAAUAAAAUAGUGCUCGUUUCAACACUUAAAACUGAUGAAAGGUGAUUUAAAACUCAUGCCUAAGAAAACGAACGAUCAUGGCUUUGCCUUUAGCUGUAAUAACAUUUAAAUCUUUAAUGAUGAUUAAUUUAACAUUUACAUUAAAAUAACAUUCCAUUGCCAGUAUGGAAUUAAAAUAUUUUUCCACUUAUUAAGCACUUCUCUUCUGCCUCUUGCUUCUGGGAGGUCGGAAUCAGAGCCACUGGUAAGGCCUGCACACCCUGUUUUAUUUCCUAAAGUUUUCUUCUGUCUUUAAGCACAGCAGAACACCAACAUUAUUGAACAUUAAUGGAAAAGUACAAAGAUCCUGUUUAAAUUAUUCUGAACUUUACACUCAAAAGCAAAGUCUGACACAAGUCACAAGGCCCGACCCUGCAAUUUGAUCUGUCGUCUGUGGAUCUGUAUUCCCACGAGAAAUGCCAUUUAUAGCACAACGGCUCCUGACAGAAGCGCAAAUCAGAUUUCAAGAUGGGGGUCACCAUGAAGUAGGGUUGUUUUAGAUUAUUGAAUGUUCCUGCUUGUUCCUAAUACAAAUAUACAAGAUGUAAACAUGUAAUAUAUUAACGAAACAAUUCUAACCGGAAUCUUUAUCUUAAAGUUAUUUUAGCACAAGACAUUAGCAUUAUCUAUAAAAUUACUUCAUUGAUGAUUUGUAUCACAGUAACCCCCGGUGUACUGACCUGUGUACUGUACAAACACAUUUUAAAAGACAUGCCUUUGCCCAAUUCCAGUGCUGCUGAAAAAAUUACCUUGUCAACAUAUACCACAUACAGACAAGAGAACAUUGAAUAUAACACAAAAUAAACAUUACCGAGGGCACUGAAAUAUGUCACCCGGUCCUGUCCCUGCAGUAGUUCUAAGUGCUAGAAUCUGGUCCUUGAUAAUUAACAAACCAUUACCAUAGAUUCAGAAUUAGACAUCACUUGCAGCAAAAUAGUGACUCCCGCCCCUCCCUCUGUGUCACACACCUUCCCACCCCACCUCCUGUGGCCACCAACCUUGAAUGAACACGUCUGCAGCCCCUCUCUGAUAUGUGCAGCCUGGCACUUGGUUACGUGAGAAGGAAGGUGUUUGCUAACACAGCUGUAGGAAACCUCCAUGCAUGUCCCAUACUGAAUGUAGAAUGCCAAUGAACCCGCUGCAUCCUUGUAAGGUGACACCAGGGAAUAGGUUCUGUUUGUAGAACUGUAGAGAGCAGUAGGCCCCGAUUGUGUAUUUACACUAGAACUGAAGGCUUGUACACUGUGUGCGUCUAUUUCAACUCUCUCUUAAUUGCAUACGAUGUUUCAAAUAAUAAAUAUAUGAUCAGCUCUUAAAAUUGGGCUUCCAAAGCCAGUGGUUGAAGUACAUUUUCACUGGAAUAGGAGAUCUAAAUGUGAUUUUUGUAGUUCUAUUCCAAAGAAUUUAUUGUAUGGGGAAACCAGCCUCUGAAAAUUACAUGCUCAGUGGCACUGCAGUGAUGGUGGGAGAGUGCUGGUGUGGGUGUGAGAGAGUGUGAAGGAUCGCUAAUUACAAAUUUGUAAAUAUUUAAUCAAGUUUCCCCAUUUUUAGUAUUUUUUUUAUCGUGAGAGUGUCCAACAUCAAAAAAAAGUGGAUGUUUUAAUACAAUGAAGUUGUCGGGGUUUUAAGAAGGAAACUCAUUUCUAUGCCUAGCAAUUUUGGUAAUGAAAAUACAGAUCUUGAGGAAAGAAAAUAGUUUAAUUUCUUCAGUGUCUUAAAUAUUUGAAUACAUCUUCACAACUCCUCCAAAUGAUCCAUUCUCCUAUCUCCUCUUGCAGACAGUCAUGCCCAAAAAAGGAAAGAAAAGUGUUGUUUACUAGCUAGCUGGUGAGAUCAGGCUGUAUAAUGCUGUCAGGUAUGUUAAUAGGCUCAGUGGUGGCAGCUCUGGCUACGGUAUGAGAUGGGGGCUAUAUGCGAUAGCUUAGAUGGGGGAAAGAAUUAAACAUUUUAAGGAAAUGCUGACCUAGAUGAGUUGUUUGUGGCUUUCUGUGGUGUGCUAGCGAUGUUAGUUUCAGAUGGAGCUCAUAAGUAUCAGUUAUCAAUGUAUAUAGGGAUUAUUUAUAUUUUUUAAACUUGGUUCUACAACCUACACUUAAAAGAAAUGCCAGAUUUUCAUGACAGUUCCUACUCUCACACACACGAUCAGAGGUACAGAAAGAAACACAGAGGUACUCACACACCCAGCCAUGAAGGGGCACGAAUGUCUUUUUGACUCAGCAGAAUACCAGGUGUCCAAACACACUCCUGUAGAGUUGGAGUGGGAUAAAUAACUAUUCCUAAGGGUUAGUCAAUCUGAGAGGCAACAUCCUUAUUUUCCUGCCACAUUACACCCCUUUUGACCACCUUCUCCUGGAAGGUAAAGUUGUAUUAAAGGGAUAUUAUCAGGUUGAAAAAAUAAACGUACUUAGCAGUAUUCACAUCUUAGAUCAUUGUAACUGAAAUGUUUUUUAAAAAAAUCCAGCUCACUUUUCUCAUCGAUUCUGUGUGUUCACUUUUGACUUUUCUUGGCUUGGUUGAUGAAAAUAAGCUUUUCAGUUUCAUUUUGGUUUCUGAUUGGUUUUGUGGUUUGGUGUUCAUCUACUAACUGAAGGCUGCAGUUUGGGGGUUGCCAGAAUUUAAAUCGAAACGAGCCGUUUCCAUUGAAAUAUAAAAAGCUGCAGAAACAUUUAUCUUGAGCUGAAGUUUUGUAAAACUGUUCUAAGACAUCCCAAAUGUUGGCGCUAAACCAACUGGACAGCACCUCUUUACCAAGGCAGUAUCAUGUUCCUUUUCGUAAAUGUUGGCAGUGGAUGGCAUCCGUAUGUUGAGGCAGAAAAUACCCAUGAUGCCAGUGAAAUGUUCCCUAUACUAGGGUGUAUCUGCUCAGGCACACAGAGGAGCUUCCUCCUUCAGGCCAUGAUAUUAUUAGUGAAGAGACACUUAGUUCUUUAUGACAAAUCAGUUAGCUCACAGCUGGCAUAAUUAAAGCAAUUUGAAUAGCUGAUCGCUCCUAACUGCUUAAUUUUUUGAACAGCGUUUGCCUCAUGCAGCGGAACUUCUGAGUUGCUUCUGUGGGGAGCGCGUCGUAACCUCAUUGUGUUCUCUUUUCCACCAUUGUGGCAGCUAGGUAACAGUUUAGACAUUAGGCUACUGGAAGUGCUUGGGUUUGCAGGCUGAUCGCACACUAUCUGAGAUCUGUCUACACUAGGGAAUCCAGUGUCAUUGCAACAUGAAAUACUUGAAAUGCUGGUAAAAACCAUUGUUUUCCUGAAGGAAACUGUUUGAUUUCAGCUAUAACUGGAAAGGUGUAAUCCUUGCUGAAACGCCAUUGAGGUUCUGUAAUCAUUUGCUAAUUUUGCAAAAACAUCAGUUGCAGAGAGAACUGUGCUGGGACCUAAGGACUAACUGCUCCUGCAGCCUGGUACAGCUGCACUCUGGGUGGAUGGACGGGGCUGUUCUAGAAGACCCAGUGUGGUGAGGUUGGCUGCAUUGGUUCUGGUUCUGGUUCUGCUUCUGCAGAGCCGGUUCCGGCUGUGUUGAGUUGAGCCACACAGUUUCACCAUGAAACAACCCCUUGUGCUAGUGUAGACGGGUCUUUGGUGGGUAGUUGCUGAUAUUAAAGGGGAAACUGAGACAGGCUCCUUUCCCGCCCUUGUCACAGUUGGCAGCUGACAAUGCUCAAGUUCUGUGUUUGUGACGUGUGGGUGUUGAGCUGUUUCUGUCUCCAUAAGGGUAUGUGAAAAAAGUCCCUUUAGAUACCCUGGGAGAACUCUGCUAGCUCCUGCCAUGGAAACAGUGUGGACAGGGCUUUGAUGUAUUGAUUUAGGGCCAGAUUUUCAAAACAGCUCAGCAUGCAGCAUGCACAGUUCUUCUGAAACCCGUGUCACUUACGUGGCUGUCUACAGAGGAGCUGAAAAUCUGCCUCUGGGUGCUGAGCACUUCUGAAACCCUGCCCCUUGUGCAUUAGGGCCAGAGCUUGUUUGUGAGAUUUUGCCACCUCAUGCAGAGGGACUAGAAGUCAGGACUAGGAGGAUGAGUCUGCAUAAAAAUGAACCCACCCUAAAAUACCGCUGUUCUCUCUGAGACGCACUCCAAAUAGCAAUAAAACUCUUGCCUGCAGAGAGGAGGAGUUGGGAGAAUAGCAAACUGAGGUAAUUGGUACAGGCUGGGUAACCAGAACAUGGCUGGGUUAAGGGUCCCUUAACCAGUUACUGGGGAUACCCAGCUCAUUUUUAAUUUCAAGUGGCCUUUCCUCUAUUUGGGGGAGGGGGUGGCAAAGGGAGGGGUCUGACGUGUGCGGAUUAAAUUAGUGCAAUGACAUAAGGGAGCCCUUUUGUUUCUCAUGCCUACUGCCCUUAAAUGUUGAAACUGGGUCUUUGUAAGCAAUGUUUGUGUAUUUAUGUGUAUAUCUGAGGUACAAAGUUUUAAAAAGACUGCCUUUUCCUCCCUGCUGUUUUUCUGAGUAAUUCCGGGUGUACUGUCAUCUCUCUACUGUCAAAACUUUUAUAUUGUAAAACUGAUGCUGGUGGGUUUUGGUUAUUUUGUUUGGGGGUUUUUUUGGUAAAAAAAAAAAAAAAAAAAGAAACAAGAAAAAACCACAUCUGCAUCUCUCUCUGUUGUCAGUUUUAGGUUGUAAAUUCCAACUAUCAAUAAAAACUCAAAAUUCUCA